AACGAACGCUGGCGGCAUGCCUAAUACAUGCAAGUCGAACGAGAUCUUCGGAUCUAGUGGCGCACGGGUGCGUAACGCGUGGGAAUCUACCCUUGGGUUCGGAAUAACAGUUGGAAACGACUGCUAAUACCGGAUGAUGACGAAAGUCCAAAGAUUUAUCGCCCAGGGAUGAGCCCGCGUAGGAUUAGCUAGUUGGUGAGGUAAAGGCUCACCAAGGCUACGAUCCUUAGCUGGUCUGAGAGGAUGAUCAGCCACACUGGGACUGAGACACGGCCCAGACUCCUACGGGAGGCAGCAGUAGGGAAUAUUGGACAAUGGGGGCAACCCUGAUCCAGCAAUGCCGCGUGAGUGAUGAAGGCCUUAGGGUUGUAAAGCUCUUUUACCCGAGAUGAUAAUGACAGUAUCGGGAGAAUAAGCUCCGGCUAACUCCGUGCCAGCAGCCGCGGUAAUACGGAGGGAGCUAGCGUUGUUCGGAAUUACUGGGCGUAAAGCGCACGUAGGCGGCGAUUUAAGUCAGAGGUGAAAGCCCGGGGCUCAACCCCGGAACUGCCUUUGAGACUGGAUUGCUAGAAUCUUGGAGAGGCGGGUGGAAUUCCGAGUGUAGAGGUGAAAUUCGUAGAUAUUCGGAAGAACACCAGUGGCGAAGGCGGCCCGCUGGACAAGUAUUGACGCUGAGGUGCGAAAGCGUGGGGA
rnacentral:rRNA from 1 species